AAAGCUAAUUAACAGUUUUGGGAAGGAAGAGAUUAAGGCUAACAAUGGUCCAAAGCUACACAAUCGAUUUCACAAAAAUCCUAGUUCUGCACUUUUCACCACUAAGGUACAAAGGCAUUGGUGAGUCACUGGGACUGCCUUUCAGUGUGCCAGGGGCUGCUGUACAGGAGAUGGAAGAAUCCCAGGGCUGGUAUAGCCCCUGGUGCUAAGCAGUCUCUAACUCCAGGGCCUGCAGCAGAUCCACGGCCCACGAGACGCCAGGCAUUAUGGAGUGAACAAGACCCAGGACUGACUCUGAGCUGAUUGAGCUAAUUAAAUAAUUAAGAGUAGAAGUUUGCACAAAAUCCUGAAACCAGCACACAGACAGCCCUCCAGAACUGGAGUUCUACACCCCUGCUUUAAAUCAGUCAAUCACCCCCUCUAAUAGUACUGCAAAACAAAAAGUACCAGAGAUCCCACUCUGUAAACUGGCAUGACUGUACAUCAGACUGUAUAGAACAACUCAUGAAAAAUGUAUGUUACCAUUGUGUUAUCAUUUAUGGUAGAUAGGCCAAAAGUAGAGUGCAAAUGUAUGCUUGUUCCCUCAUUUUCUUCAUGAUGGCCUGUAUGUUUUUUUCCCCUCAAAAGUAUACCAAAGGUCAUUACUCCAAGGUUGUGCAAUGGGUGUCUAGUAUGAGAAAGCUCUGGGAGGUCAAGAUUCAGAAGUGGCCAUUUCCCCUGGAAUGGCCCUUAAUUGGAUCUUGUGUCACAUGCCACCCAUAUUUUGUUCUUAUAUUUCCCUGUUUGCUGGGCAUGUACUGCCUGAACAGACCACAGCCUUUGAAAGGAACCGCUUGUUUGUUCACCGUGACUUCAGCCGCAGGAUUGUACAGACAUGGUUCAGGCAACCCCAAGGCAUCGGUGAUGUCUGCAAAUGGCUCUGCAUUCUUGGCAAGCGAAUCAUCACCAGACAGAGGGCUCCACUUGUCUUUCCUCAAAACCACCUAUUCUGUGCAAUCUCACCAGCAGCAAAUUUUCUGGCUUGGCUCCCAUUCAUUCAAAUCACAUUUGGCUUAUGGAAAUGAAUCUAAUGUCAGUUAAAUAAAAACAAGUCCUGUCAUAAUAUACUGUAUAAGAAUAUGAAGUAAUUCCUGUUCAUGUGUUUGUCAAACAUUAUUUGCCAAUAUGUAACAGUACAUAUUGGCAAAUCCCACUUAACAUCACUCCAAUAGUAAAGCAUGGUGGGGAAAGGACCAUGUUAUGGGGAUGCUUCCCUUUGGCAGAGAGGGGAAAAGUGUCAGACCUGAAAAAAACAUACAGUGCAAAGCACAAGCAAAUACUGACAGAAGAUCUGUGUCAGUCUGCUAAUGAUUUUAAAUUCAAUACCAAAGCUACAUGGAGUGGCCUCAGACCCAUCAAAUUUAGGGCACUUAAAUUAGAAAAACUUGAAAAUUUGGGGUACAGAAGCAAAACGUGAUGCAGAAACUAAUUUUUCAAAUUCCCAAAAAUAUUUGUAGCUGCUUUUAGAGCAAAAGGUGCUCCUGUCAUGUAUAUUCAUAUGAAUAUUUAUGACGUGAACAAUUCUUACAAUGGUACUGUUUGUGACUUCAUUUCAGACAAAAUGUGCUUGCCUCUUGGCUGGCUGUGGGUUGCUGAGAAUUCAAAGCUCUCGGUCAUUAAUUUUCUUGAGCAAGUGUCAAAUCCUUCUCAAUAUGAAAGGACUCACAUAUACCUGUGUCUUGAGCUGCUGCCACUCACUCUGGCACACUUUGCAAU